AACGAACGCUGGCGGCAGGCCUAACACAUGCAAGUCGAGCGAGGACUCCGUUUCUAGUUGCGGUCGGGUGAGUAACGCGUGGGAAUGUGCCCUUCUCUACCGAAAUGUCCUUGGAAAUUGGGAGUAAUACCGUAUACGCUCCUUUGGGGAAAGAUUUAUCGGAGAAGGAUAAGCAGGGGAUGGUUUAGGUUGGUGGUGGGGAAAUGGCCUAUCAAGGCGAGGAUCCAUAGCGGGGUUCAGAGAAUGAUCAGCCACACUGGGACUAAGACACAGCCGAGACUCCUACGCGAGGGAGCAGUGGGUAAUCUUAGCCAAUGGCGGCAACGCUGAACUAGCCAUGCCGCGUGAGUGAUGAUGGCCUUAGGGAAGUAAAGCUCUUUCAGCUGGGGAGAUAAUGACGGUACCCGCAGAAGAAGCCCCGGCUAACUCCGUG
rnacentral:rRNA from 1 species